rnacentral:rRNA from 1 species
AGCGAACGCUGGCGGCAGGCCUAACACAUGCAAGUCGAACGGAUCCUUCGGGAUUAGUGGCGGACGGGUGAGUAACACGUGGGAACGUGCCCUUUGGUUCGGAACAACUCAGGGAAACUUGAGCUAAUACCGGAUGUGCCCUUCGGGGGAAAGAUUUAUCGCCAUUAGAGCGGCCCGCGUCUGAUUAGCUAGUUGGUGAGGUAAAGGCUCACCAAGGCGACGAUCAGUAGCUGGUCUGAGAGGAUGAUCAGCCACAUUGGGACUGAGACACGGCCAAACUCCUACGGGAGGCAGCAGUGGGGAAUCUUGCGCAAUGGGCGAAAGCCUGACGCAGCCAUGCCGCGUGAAUGAUGAAGGUCUUAGGAUUGUAAAAUUCUUUCACCGGGGACGAUAAUGACGGAACCCGGAGAAGAAGCCCCGGCUAACUUCGUGCCAGCCGCCGCCGUAA